UACGUAGGCAGCGAGCGUUGUUCGGAAUUACUGGGCGUAAAGAGUGUGUAGGCGGUGCUCCCAGUCUGUUGUGAAAUCUCCCGGCUUAACUGGGAGGGUGCAGCGGAAACUAGAGUGCUAGAGGGUGGGAGAGGUAAGCGGAAUUCCUGGUGUAGCGGUGAAAUGCGUAGAUAUCAGGAGGAACACCUGUGGUGUAGACAGCUUACUGGACCACUUCUGACGCUGAGACACGAGAGCGUGGGUAGCAAACAGG
rnacentral:rRNA from 1 species